rnacentral:rRNA from 1 species
UCCCUGACGACUUGACCUCAAAUCAGGUAGGACUACCCGCUGAACUUAAGCAUAUCAU